rnacentral:rRNA from 1 species
AUUGAACGCUGGCGGCAGGCCUAACACAUGCAAGUCGAGCGGAGCGGCCGACGGGUGAGUAAUGCCUAGGAAUCUGCCUGGUUGUGGGGGAUAACGUCCGGCAACGGGCGCUAAUACCGCAUACUAUCAGAUAAACCUAGGUCGGAUUAGCUAGUUGGUGGGGUAAAUGCCUCCCAAGGCGACGAUCCGUAACUGGUCUGAGAGGAUGAUCAGUCACACUGGAACUGAGAAACGGUCCAGACUCCUACGGGAGGCAGCAGUGGGGAAUAUUGGACAAUGGGCGAAAGCCUGAUCCAGCCAUGCCGCGUGUGUGAAGAAGGUCUUCGGAUUGUAAAGCACUUUCAGUUGGGAGGCGUUACCAGCAGAAUAAGCACCGGCUAACUUCGUGCCAGCAGCCGCGGUAAUAC